rnacentral:lncRNA from 1 species
CCCUUAAAUCAGUAAGAAGAGGACACACCACACAACAGAACGACGGGCAAAAGUCUUGAAGAGACAUUUCACAAAAAAGGAAUUUCAAAGUGGCCCCAAAUCAUAGUGGUAUAGACUAUUCGUUUCUCUCCCCGCCACACACCAAAAUUCCCACAUUGAAACCUCAUCACCAACAUUAUAGUAUUUGGAGGAAGAACCUUUGGAAGUUAAUUAGGUCAUGAAGGUGGAGCCCUCAUGAAUGGGAUUAGCACCCUUAUAAAAGAAGCCCUAGGGAGCUCCCUCACCCUUUCAGCCCUGUGAGAACCAGGAAGCUGGUUCUCCUCAUCAGACACCAAAUUUGCUUGUGCCUUGAUCCUGAACUUUGCAGCCUGUAGGACUGUGAAAAGUUUCUGUUGUUCAUCAGGCACCCAGUCUAUGGUACUCUGUUAUAGCAGUCUGAACUAAGACAGAAAUGGGUACCAAGGAGUGGGGGUGCUGCUAUAAUAAAUAGUAACCAAUGUGAAAGCAGCUUUGGGAGUGGGCAGUGGAUAGGGGCUGGACGUUUUGAGGUGUGUGCUAGAAAACCCUACCUUGCCGCGGCUCAACUGUUUAGGGCAAUGAGAGCUCAGAAAGAAAAGAGAAGAGCUCUAGAGAAAGUCCCAGUCUUCUUAGAGGCCACCCAAGUAAUCCUCAAGCAAAUGCUGGGAGAAAGAUGAUGGCAGAGGCCAUUCUGAAGAGGUAUGAGAUGGAAAUCCUCUUAUUGAAAUCUGGAGGAAUGAUGAUCCCAUUACAGAAGGGUCAAGAACUUGGCUGAUGGGCUCGCAUUCUGGUGUUUUGUGGAAGGUAGACCUUGCAGAGGCCGAAACUGGAUAUUUAGCUGAAUUGCUUUCUAAGCAAAGUGCUAAAGGUGCAGGCUGGCUUUUCCUGACUGUAGUAAAACACAAGGAGAGAGAAACGACUGAACGGCAGAAUGGUUAAGCGAAAAGGAAGCAGAACUUAAAGAUUCGGAAAUUUGUCAGUGUAUCCUUCUUGCCAAGAGUGAGAACGCUAAGAGUGUGGCUCGGUGACCUAGAUAAGGAGGUCAUUGUGUGCCAUCAUGUCAGCAGGUGCUGGGAGCUGUGCUCCAAGACAACAUACGAAGACGCCAGAGGCAAUGCACAGACUCCAGGGCCUGCUGCUCCCAUAAGGGACUUGAGUGCAGGGGCUGGGGGAGCAGAGCAGUUUGAAAGAGGGGCUACCAGUACUCACAGAACCUCGGCACUGGCUGCCUGGCCCUGCCUCACACCUCAGGCUCGCUCCCCAUACUCUGGCACCAAGUUCCUUGGCUGCCCUGGGCCAGGCCUCCCUCUGCCCCCCAGCCACCAAUGGAGGGUGAAGGCAGCAAACUUUGGUGGCAUCUCAGGGCAGUUUCCACCAGCACACAAAGUGCGUGACCUUAGGGGGCAUGGCUGAUCCCACCUAGAUUUUGAAGGAUGCUCAGCAGAGCUGUGGGCUCAGGACCCUAAUCCGGGAGAGCUCCGGGGCCCAGGCCAUCUGGCUGGAGCUGCAGGUGACAUUGGCAGCGAGACGACAUGGGCUGCAGCUCCUCAUAGCAACAGGGCUGUGCCUCACAGUCAUAAUGCUGAGCUUCUUGGGGGUGGCUAGAGAUGUCUUUUUUUUAUUUUGUUAUCUUGGCAUGAUUCCACGGAUGGGUUCAGAUUGUGAAAAAAAAGAUCUCGAGGGCGUCCCUUUUCCGUGACGUGCCGAGGAGGUAAGGUGUUCCCAGUUCAGACCAUCACCUUGGUGGUUCUGAAGGCCCAGUUUAGGGUAAAGUCAUGUGGUGGGGGCACCUGUUCUCUAGUUCAUGGGUGGGCUCAUUAUAGCCUGUAGGCACAGUCAGGCCAGGCACCUCCUUUUGUAAAUACAGUUUUAUCAGGGCGUGGCCAUACCCAUUUACCUGUGUACUACCUCUGGCUGCUUUUACCAGGUACCAGUAGAGCUGGGUUCUGUGACAGGUCUUCUGGUCCACAAAGCCAUCUGCUCUAAUUUUUUUUUUUUUUUUUUUUUUUUUUUUGUCUAUUGGGUGCAGGGCUAGAUGUGGGGUUUCAGUUUUCAGACCAAGGAUUGAACCCAGGCCAUAGUGGUGAAAGCACCAAGUCCUGACCACCCAGGAACUCCCUGCUCUGACUUAGGGAGAAGCUUCUGAUCCUGUUGCAUCUCUCACCUCUUUAUCCUCUUCAUCCUUUAUCCUCCCUUCCUCUUGCUCAUGCCUGUGUAUAAAGGCUCUUUCCAAAUGUAGACAAGCUCCGAUUCUCUAGAUAAAGGACAAGUGGCGCGAGCACACACUCGCCAUUGCCUUGCCUCUGUCUUGGUCCACGUUGUCCGCUGGAGCAUAAUCCAGGUGUGCUAGUGAUGUGUUCCGUGAAAUGGAAUGACCAGAUUGCUCGUUUGGCUAAUUACAAAGGUACCACUGAAGAUAAGAUUGAACUUGACACCACUGGCUCUCCAGGUCUCCCAGAACACUUGCAAUACACUCAAGUGGCUGCAACAGAAAGAGAUCGCUAAGUGAAUAAUUUUUGGAAAAUGACAUCUAGACCGAAUCAUUUUGAUUACUAACUCCAAAUCUCUAGCACCUGGUCAUCGAUGGGCUCUAGAUUCCUUCAGUGUGGUUUUUAGCCAAGGGUGUUUGGCAAUUACGUCUUACCGAAUGGAGUCACUGAUUGGGCAAUACAAAAAUUCUUCAGUUUCAGAAAGUUGUCACUGCCAGACGUGUCUGAGAUCGUUGUUUUUUUUCUGCAGUAUUUUCUCUCCUCCGUUAAUAAUCAGCGGUUUUGGAGUUCCCACUGUGGUGUGGUGGGUUAAGGAUCUGGCGUUGCCUCUCUGGCUGUGCAGGUUUGAUCCCUGGUCCAGCACAGUGGGUUAAGGAUCCAGCAUUGCCACAGCUGUGGCUUAGGUUACAGCUGGAGCUCAAAUUCAGUCCCUGGCCUGGGAAGUUCCAUAUGCUGCAGGUUCAGCCAUAAAAACAAAAACAUAUCAGCUGUCUUUUUGGCAACCUUUUUUUCUUAAGAAAGGAGACACCAAGAAAACAACUUUGAGAGGGAUGGUCCAGUAGUUAAAACUUGAAGAUUUGACCAAAAAAGGU